UACAGAGGGGGCUAGCGUUGUUCGGAUUUACUGGGCGUAAAGGGCGCGUAGGCGGCCACCGCAAGUCGACUGUGAAAUCUCCGGGCUUAACCCGGAAAGGUCAGCCGAUACUGCGGGGCUAGAGUGCAGAAGGGGCAACUGGAAUUCUCGGUGUAGCGGUGAAAUGCGUAGAUAUCGAGAGGAACACCUGCGGCGAAGGCGGGUUGCUGGGCUGACACUGACGCUGAUGCGCGAAAGCUAGGGGAGCGAACGGG
rnacentral:rRNA from 1 species